rnacentral:rRNA from 1 species
CCUACGGGGGGCUGCAGUGGGGAAUAUUGGACAAUGGGGGGAACCCUGAUCCAGCCAUGCCGCGUGUGUGAAGAAGGCCCUCGGGUUGUAAAGCACUUUCAGUGAGGAAGAACGCCUGGUGGUUAAUACCCAUCAGGAAAGACAUCACUCACAGAAGAAGCACCGGCUAACUCCGUGCCAGCAGCCGCGGUAAUACGGAGGGUGCGAGCGUUAAUCGGAAUUACUGGGCGUAAAGCGCGCGUAGGUGGCUUGAUAAGCCGGUUGUGAAAGCCCCGGGCUCAACCUGGGAACGGCAUCCGGAACUGUCAAGCUAGAGUGCAGGAGAGGAAGGUAGAAUUCCCGGUGUAGCGGUGGAAUGCGUAGAGAUCGGGAGGAAUACCAGUGGCGAAGGCGGCCUUCUGGACUGACACUGACACUGAGGUGCGAAAGCGUGGGUAGCAAACAGGAUUAGAUACCCGAGUAGUC